GACGAACGCUGGCGGCGUGCUUAACACAUGCAAGUCGAACGAUGAAGAAAAGAAUCGAAGCUUCGGCAGAAAUUCAUUUCGGAUUAGUGGCAGACGUGUGAGUAACGCGUGAGCAACCUACCUCUUACAAAGGGAUAGCCUCGGGAAACCGGGAUUAAUACCAUAUAACAUUGCGACGAAGCAUUUCGAUGCAAUCAAAGCUACGGCGGUAAGAGAUGGGCUCGCGUCCCAUUAACCGGAUGGUGAGGUAACGGCUCACCAUAGUGACGAUGGGUAACCGGCCUGAGAGGGUGAACGGUCACACUGGAACUGAGACACGGUCCAGACUCCUACGGGAGGCAGCAGUGGGGAAUAUUGCACAAUGGAGGGAACUCUGAUGCAGCGACGCCGCGUGAGUGAUGAAGGAAUUCGUUUCGUAAAACUCUGUUCUAUGGGAAGAAAAGGACUGUACCAUAGGAGAAAGCUCCGGCUAAAUACGUG
rnacentral:rRNA from 1 species